UUUUUUUUUUUUUUUUUUUUUGCCCUUUUCAGCAUCUAAAACGAAUAAUCUCAACCAUAUAGGCUGCUGCUGAAAUAGUUUGUUAGGUUCUCAUUUUGAAAGGUGGAUGAUCACCGGACCAGGCAUUGCUAACUUGCUAUGCCCACGUUGUGGACAGCCUGGUUCCACGGUGGCCCAUGCAAGGAAAUCGGCUCCUUAGCCUUUAAUGCUCCAAUUUUAUUUUUUUUUUCAAUUGUCAUCUCUAUUCCUACUCCUGAAAGACACAACUGACCUUACAGAGGACAGAUGAAAAAAGAACCAUCACCGGAUCAGACAGGUGCACUACGCACCCGUCUGGAUUUGAAGCAGAGCCACAAGAGUGACAUUUUGUCUCCCACCCCACCAAAGCGGUUUUGGGGGUGACCACCAGCCCAAGCCGGUGGUUAUUAAUGCUCCAAAUGGACUAGGCCUGUCAAUCGGGCCUAAUGAGCCGGGCUUUGAUGAGUUCAAACUCAACUCAUUUAAUUUGAGACAUUUUCGGGUUUCGGGCUAUGAGUUUCGGGUUCGUAAAUGUGAAGCUCAUACUCAACUCACAUAAUAUUCAGGUUGUGAGCCUUAAUCGGGCUUAGCCCAAACUCACUUAUUACUCCUGAAUUUUCUUAAUAUAAUUGCUAUAACUAUUAAGUUGUAAAACUAAUUUAACAUUUACAAGACUAUAAUAUUAAAACUAAACAUGAACAAAUAAUAGUUCUUAAAAAGUAUAUAAACCAAAAUUUUUUCAACAAUAUUUAUAUGUAAUCCGUUUAAAAUGCAUGAAAAAUAGUAAUAAAACAUGCAAUCAUAAGCCAAUACAUCUUUAAAAGUUGAAACUUUUUUUUAUAAUCUUGUGAUUUAAAUCCAAAUAUGCUUGAUGAUUUUUGUGUUUGUAGACCAAAAAAAAAAAUCAACCAAUAAUAUGCCAAUACAAAAAGUUACUCAACCAAUAAGAAAAAUUAGAGAUUUAGUUAUGCAUUACUAAUAUUGGCUCUCAAGAAAGCUCAUGAAAGAGUCUUUAGAUGUGUUUUUGUGUUUUGUAAUUUAUAUAUAUAUUUAGUAUUUAGCAAAAAUAUAUUUGGAUAUAUAAUUAUACAUAAUAUCAAAAUAUAAAUAUUAUAUAUAUAGGUAAUUAAAGGGCCGGGCCUAUAUCGGGUAUGAGCCUAAUAAGGCCCAAGCUCGGCUCACAUUUAAUUCGGGCCUAAUUUUUAGGCUCAAACUCAGACCGGCUCACUAAAUGAUCGGGCUCAUCGGGCUUUCUGUCGGGCCGAACGAGCCGAGCUCGGGCUGGCCCAGCCCCAUUGACAGUCCUAAAAUGGACCGGUGGCAAAUAGGAUAUAACAUAAAUCAGAAUGGAAAAAGCUUCCCCCUUCUCUGAUUGCAUUGUGGAACAAUUAUUUGGAACAACUCAUUUCCUUACAGGAAUAGGAAUUGUUCCAUCUAUGAAAUAUAUACCACAAGAUUUUGCAUGGCGGCGAUGCAAAAAAAAUUUUAGAUAUAAAAAAAACUGCCCUCAUGAGAGCCUUAGCCGCUAAUCAAAUGAGCGGUGAUGGUUUGAAGGAAUAUAAAAAAAAAAAAAAAAAAAAAAGGGAAACUGAAGCAACCCAAAAUAAAUUAAAAUUAUUUUUACUUGAAGCUGCACAUCGGAGUUGCAGCGACCCCUAAUUAACAGCCCUCCAUCGGACAGCACCAAUUUUAUGACGCUUUUUAAUUUUAACAAUACUAUGAGAAAUUCGCCCUUUUUUGAUAUAUAGGAGAUUGAAAAAUGCAUUGAUGAAUCAUGCAAAUAAAGUUUGACAAAUAGUAAUAGCAGAAUUGAGACUUGACCAGGCAUCACGGAAGUUUAACAAGACACAAGAGAAUUUUCUCCCCUUUGCAAGCUCUAAAUUGGGAAUUUAAUGUAUAAGAGGCUGUAGUUCUCGUAAAGUACUCUCGACUAUGUAUUUCAAUCAGUGUAGGCAGUGGAAGGAACACGACUGUGAAGCUGUAGCAAGCUCCGAUAUAACAUGUUCAAAGAGUAUGUCAAGAGGCCAGCACUCUCGUGCGUCAUUGGAAACUGAAGAAGAAUAAAAACUGUCUUCACAUACUUGUUCACAAACAUUGUAGGCUAAAAUUACUCUAAAUAAUUCUUUAGAGCAUCCGUACCACCAAUGGUUCAUGGAAAUACAAUUAUAAAUGGUUGACACACGUCAGAAUAAGAAAAUUACCUUGUCAUCCAAAAUUUUCUAGCCUGUUAAUUAUCAAAUU
rnacentral:lncRNA from 1 species